CCUACGGGGGGCAGCAGUGGGGAAUAUUGCGCAAUGGGCGAAAGCCUGACGCAGCGACGCCGCGUGAGGGAUGAAGGUCUUCGGAUCGUAAACCUCUGUCAGCAGGGAAGAACGGUCACUGUGCUAAUCAGCAGUGAAUUGACGGUACCUGCAAAGGAAGCACCGGCUAACUCCGUGCCAGCAGCCGCGGUAAUAAGGAGGGUGCGAGCGUUAAUCGGAAUUACUGGGCGUAAAGCGCACGUAGGCGGUAUGUCAAGUCAAGGGUGAAAUCCCCGCGCUCAACGUGGGAACUGCCUUUGAAACUGGCAAACUGGAGUGUGUGAGAGGAUAGUGGAAUUCCAGGUGUAGGAGUGAAAGCCGUAGAUAUCUGGAGGAACAUCAGUGGCGAAGGCGACUAUCUGGCACAUAACUGGCGCUGAGGAGCGAAAGCGUGGGUAGCAAACAGGAUUAGAUACCCUAGUAGUC
rnacentral:rRNA from 1 species